rnacentral:rRNA from 1 species
AGUUUGAUCCUGGCUCAGGACGAACGCUGGCGGCGUGCUUAACACAUGCAAGUCGAACGAUGAAGCUCCAGCUUGCUGGGGUGGAUUAGUGGCGAACGGGUGAGUAACACGUGAGUAACCUGCCCUCAACUUCGGGAUAACUGCGAGAAAUCGUGGCUAAUACUGGAUAUGACGCAUGCCUGCAUGGGUGUGUGUGGAAAGAUUUAUCGGUUGGGGAUGGGCUCGCGGCCUAUCAGCUUGUUGGUGGGGUGAUGGCCUACCAAGGCGACGACGGGUAGCCGGCCUGAGAGGGUGACCGGCCACACUGGGACUGAGACACGGCCCAGACUCCUACGGGAGGCAGCAGUGGGGAAUAUUGCACAAUGGGCGAAAGCCUGAUGCAGCGACGCCGCGUGAGGGAUGACGGCCUUCGGGUUGUAAACCUCUUUCAGUAGGGAAGAAGCUCUUCGGAGUGACGGUACCUGCAGAAGAAGCGCCGGCUAACUACGUG